GUGAGGAAUUUUCCGCAAUGGGCGAAAGCCUGACGGAGCAAUGCCGCGUGAAGGAUGAAGGUCUUAGGAUUGUAAAAUUCUUUCACCGGGGACGAUAAUGACGGUACCCGGAGAAGAAGCCCCGGCUAACUUCGUGCCAGCAGCCGCGGUAAUACGAAGGGGGCUAGCGUUGCUCGGAAUUACUGGGCGUAAAGGGCGCGUAGGCGGACAGUUUAGUCAGAGGUGAAAGCCCAGGGCUCAACCUUGGAAUUGCCUUUGAUACUGGCUGUCUUGAGUACGGGAGAGGUGAGUGGAACUCCGAGUGUAGAGGUGAAAUUCGUAGAUAUUCGGAAGAACACCAGUGGCGAAGGCGACUCACUGGCCCGUUACUGACGCUGAGGCGCGAAAGCGUGGGGAGCAAACAGGAUUAGAUACCCCUGUAGUCC
rnacentral:rRNA from 1 species